rnacentral:rRNA from 1 species
GACGAACGCUGGCGGCGUGCCUAACACAUGCAAGUCGAACGAGGCCCAUGCAGUGGCAACACUGCGGAAGACCUAGUGGCGAACGGGUGAGUAACACGUGAGGAACCUGCCCCGAAGACCGGGAUAACCCUCCGAAAGGAGAGCUAAUACCGGAUAUCCCCAUCGGAUCGCAUGAUCUGAUGAGGAAAUGGAUUCCGCUUCGGGAGGCCUCGCGGCCUAUCAGCUUGUUGGCGGGGUAACGGCCCACCAAGGCAUCGACGGGUAGCUGGUCUGAGAGGACGAUCAGCCACACUGGGACUGAGACACGGCCCAGACUCCUACGGGAGGCAGCAGUGGGGAAUCUUGCGCAAUGGGCGAAAGCCUGACGCAGCAACGCCGCGUGGGGGAUGAAGGCUCUCGGGUUGUAAACCCCUUUCAGCAGGGACGAAUCAAGACGGUACCUGCAGAAGAAGCCCCGGCUAACUACGUGCCAGCAGCCGCGGUAAAGUCGAUA